AUCAUUAAUAAUCAAUUUAAAAGAAUUAUAACCCAUUUAACCACAUACAAUUAAGAAACACUAGGUAAGUAGCCAAAAAAAAAAAAAACACCGGCAAAGUUUCUCGUAGUCCACCUAUCUGUGGCCUUGACGGUUGCUUCAGCAAGUGACUGUUGGUAUCUUCUUCUACCCACUAUUGGCAUCUUCUUCCAAUUUAUGGCUGCUAAUUCCAGGUCAAUCAUGAAUGAGGAGAAUAAUAUUUCAAAUGCUGAACAUUUUACUUCUAAUGAUUGUUCUCAAAUUGGGUAGAGAAAGAUAACAUUGAGUGUUAUUAAAAUUGAAAUUACUAGAAACAAGUCUUUCAAGCGGUGGGAAAAUAUGGAUAGUCUAGACAAUCAACCAUUUAUUUUUAAAAGAAUAUUGUUAGAAGCAAGCCUUCAAGCAGUGCAAAAAUAUGGAUAGUCGGGACAAUCAAAGUUUAUUUGUAAAAGAAUAUUAUCGAUGCAAUAAAGUAUUUUCAGUUGUUUUUAUUUUUAAUACAAGACAGAUGAAGUUUUCAGGUUUUCGUUAAUGUCUUUCUUACAAUAUACUUAAUGUAGUUUUAAGUUAUUUUAGGUUACAAUUUGUUUGAGUUUUUGUAAAUAAAACAGAGGUGAAACAAUGAAAGUCAAUUUUGCAAAGAAAACAGAGGUGAAACAUAUUUGUGGAGUCAUCUUUCAGAUAU